rnacentral:rRNA from 1 species
GACGAACGCUGGCGGCGUGCUUAACACAUGCAAGUCCAACGGAAAGGCUCCAGCUUGCUGGAGUACUCGAGUGGCGAACGGGUGAGUAACACGUGGGUAAUCUGCCCUGCACUCUGGGAUAAGCCUGGGAAACUGGGUCUAAUACUGGAUAUGACCUUUCUCCUUAUGGGGUUUGGUGGAAAGUUUUUCGGUGUAGGAUGAGCCCGCGGCCUAUCAGCUUGUUGGUGGGGUGAUGGCCUACCAAGGCGACGACGGGUAGCCGGCCUGAGAGGGUGAUCGGCCACAUUGGGACUGAGAUACGGCCCAGACUCCUACGGGAGGCAGCAGUGGGGAAUAUUGCACAAUGGGCGGAAGCCUGAUGCAGCGACGCCGCGUGAGGGAUGACGGCCUUCGGGUUGUAAACCUCUUUCAGCAGGGACGAAGCGUAAGUGACGGUACCUGCAGAAGAAGCACCGGCUAACUAUGUG